GUGUCAGCCGCCGCGGUAAUACGGAGGGGGCGAGCGUUGUUCGGAAUUACUGGGUGUAAAGGGUGCGUAGGCGGCUCGUUAAGUCUGAUGUGAAAGCCCUGGGCUCAACUCAGGAAUGGCAUUGGAAACUGGCGGGCUCUGAGUAUCGGAGAGGGAAGCGGAAUUCCUGGUGUAGCGGUGAAAUGCGUAGAUACCAGGAGGAACACCGGUGGCGAAGGCGGCUUCCUGGCCGAAUACUGACGCUGAGGCACGAAAGCGUGGGGAGCAAACGGGAUUAGAUACCCCCGUAGUCC
rnacentral:rRNA from 1 species